rnacentral:rRNA from 1 species
UUAUCGUCAGCGACGCUGGCUUCGCGUCGGUGGGCGAUGUCCCGCGCGGGUCCUCGCGGCUCGCGCGCGGGCACGCUACCGUGCGUCGACGUCCGGCGCUCGUCGUCGUGCACUUCUCCCCAAGUAAAACGUCNNNNCSCGCUGGGUGUCGGUCUACGGCCCGGGUGCGGUGUCUGUCGCGUCGCGCGGUAAAACGGCACGCGACAAACCCCCGGUCGCCCGGCCGGCUGCUCGGCGGUACGCGCAAGGUAUCAGNCCGCACACGUGCCGCGUGCGCGCUCUCUCUCGCCCCUCUCGGGGGGUGUGCGGAGUGUGUCGCGCGCGCGCGCGGGGAUGCGUCGAGGCCGUCGCAAGCGCGCGCCACGGUACAUGGAGGUUACGGACCUAGCGCCGUCCCCGGUCCUGGCCCGCUGUUGGUUAAUAAAGUACGGAUUCACCUUCGACAGGCCUGCUAACGUCUCGCGCGCGCGUGUGUCC